GCCAGAUAUGGUAGCAUACAACUGUAAUUUUUACAGCUGUGGAGGAUGAGGCUAGUUUAUUACUUCAGUUCAAGAGUUCUUAGCUGCAGUGGGGCCAAAGCCGAUUGGAUGUCCAUAUUGUUUGGCACCAGUAUGGUGUGCCUCCAGGAGUGGAGGGCCACUGGGUUGUUUAAGGAGGAAUGAACUAGCCUAGAUUUGAAAAAUAAAGCAGAUUAAAACUUCCAUGCUAAUCAGCAUUUGGAUCAAGCAUGUGUGUGACUGCUGCACUUCCAGCCUGGGUGACAUAGGGAGGCCUAGUCCCCA
rnacentral:SRP_RNA from 1 species